rnacentral:rRNA from 1 species
UCUUGGUCAUUUAGAGGAAGUAAAAGUCGUAACAAGGUUUCCGUAGGUGAACCUGCGGAAGGAUCAUUAAAGAAAUUUAAUAAUUUUGAAAAUGGAUUUUUUUGUUUUGGCAAGAGCAUGAGAGCUUUUACUGGGCAAGAAGACAAGAGAUGGAGAGUCCAGCCGGGCCUGCGCUUAAGUGCGCGGUCUUGCUAGGCUUGUAAGUUUCUUUCUUGCUAUUCCAAACGGUGAGAGAUUUCUGUGCUUUUGUUAUAGGACAAUUAAAACCGUUUCAAUACAACACACUGUGGAGUUUUCAUAUCUUUGCAACUUUUUCUUUGGGCAUUCGAGCAAUCGGGGCCCAGAGGUAACAAACACAAACAAUUUUAUCUAUUCAUUAAAUUUUUGUCAAAAACAAGAAUUUUCGUAACUGGAAAUUUUAAAAUAUUAAAAACUUUCAACAACGGAUCUCUUGGUUCUCGCAUCGAUGAAGAACGCAGCGAAAUGCGAUACGUAAUGUGAAUUGCAGAAUUCCGUGAAUCAUCGAAUCUUUGAACGCACAUUGCGCCCCUUGGUAUUCCAGGGGGCAUGCCUGUUUGAGCGUCAUUUCCUUCUCAAACAUUCUGUUUGGUAGUGAGUGAUACUCUUUGGAGUUAACUUGAAAUUGCUGGCCUUUUCAUUGGAUGUUUUUUUUCCAAAGAGAGGUUUCUCUGCGUGCUUGAGGUAUAAUGCAAGUACGGUCGUUUUAGGUUUUACCAACUGCGGCUAAUCUUUUUUUAUACUGAGCGUAUUGGAACGUUAUCGAUAAGAAGAGAGCGUCUAGGCGAACAAUGUUCUUAAAGUUUGACCUCAAAUCAGGUAGGAGUACCNGCUGAACUUAAGCAUAUCAAUAAGCGGAGGAA